GAUGAACGCUGGCGGCGUGCCUAAUACAUGCAAGUCGAGCGAACAGAUGAGGAGCUUGCUCCUCUGACGUUAGCGGCGGACGGGUGAGUAACACGUGGAUAACCUACCUAUAAGACUGGGAUAACUUCGGGAAACCGGAGCUAAUACCGGAUAAUAUAUUGAACCGCAUGGUUCAAUAGUGAAAGACGGUUUUGCUGUCACUUAUAGAUGGAUCCGCGCCGCAUUAGCUAGUUGGUAAGGUAACGGCUUACCAAGGCAACGAUGCGUAGCCGACCUGAGAGGGUGAUCAGCCACACUGGAACUGAGACACGGUCCAGACUCCUACGGGAGGCAGCAGUAGGGAAUAUUGCGCAAUGGGCGAAAGCCUGACGGAGCCACGCCGCGUGGGUGAUGAAGGUCUUCGGAUCGUAAAACUCUGUUGUUAGGGAAGAACAAAUGUGUAAGUAACUAUGCACGUCUUGACGGUACCUAAUCAGAAAGCCACGGCUAACUACGUG
rnacentral:rRNA from 1 species